rnacentral:rRNA from 1 species
CAGCAGCCGCGGGAAUACGAAGGGGGCUAGCGUUGUUCGGAAUUACUGGGCGUAAAGCGCACGUAGGCGGAUCGAUCAGUCAGGGGUGAAAUCCCAGGGCUCAACCCUGGAACUGCCUUUGAUACUGUCGAUCUGGAGUAUGGAAGAGGUGAGUGGAAUUCCGAGUGUAGAGGUGAAAUUCGUAGAUAUUCGGAGGAACACCAGUGGCGAAGGCGGCUCACUGGUCCAUUACUGACGCUGAGGUGCGAAAGCGUGGGGAGCAAACAGGAUUAGAUACCCCUGUAGUCCCUGUCUCUUAUAC